GACGAACGCUGGCGGCGUGCUUAACACAUGCAAGUCGAACGGAAAGGCCUGCUUUCCCUUGUGGAUUGCGGGUGCUCGAGUGGCGAACGGGUGAGUAACACGUGAGUGAUCUGCCCCCAACUUGGGUAUAAGCCUGGGAAACUGGGUCUAAUUCCCGAUAGGACUGCAGGGUGGUGCCUGUGGUGGAAAACGAUUUUCUAGUGGUUGGGGAUGAGCUCGCGGCCUAUCAGCUUGUUGGUGGGGUAAUGGCCUACCAAGGCGGCGACGGGUAGCCGGCCUGAGAGGGUGGACGGGCACAUUGGGACUGAGAUACGGCCCAGACUCCUACGGGAGGCAGCAGUGGGGAAUAUUACACAAUGGGCGGAAGCCUGAUGCAGCGACGCCGCGUGGGGGAUGACGGCCUUCGGGUUGUAAACUCCUUUCGACCGCGAGGAAGCCACCUGGUUGGAAGGGUGGUGACGGUAGUGGUAGAAGAAGCACCGGCUAACUACGUG
rnacentral:rRNA from 1 species